AUUGAACGCUGGCGGCAUGCUUUACACAUGCAAGUCGAACGGGGUGAGGAGCUUGCUCCUCAUCUAGUGGCGAACGGGUGAGUAAUACAUCGGAACGUACCGUGUAGUGGGGGAUAACGUAGCGAAAGUUACGCUAAUACCGCAUACGAUCCACGGAUGAAAGCAGGGGACCUUCGGGCCUUGUGCUAUACGAGCGGCCGAUGUCUGAUUAGCUAGUUGGUGGGGUAAAGGCCCACCAAGGCAACGAUCAGUAGCGGGCCUGAGAGGAUGAUCCGCCACACUGGGACUGAGACACGGCCCAGACUCCUACGGGAGGCAGCAGUGGGGAAUUUUGGACAAUGGGCGCAAGCCUGAUCCAGCCAUGCCGCGUGUCUGAAGAAGGCCUUCGGG
rnacentral:rRNA from 1 species